GCCAUUUCUUGGGCCGCUCCCGCGGCAUAUGGAGGUUCCCAGGCUAGGGGUUGAAUCGGAGCUGUAGCCACCGGCCUACGCCAGAGCCACAGCAACGUGGGAUCCCAGCCGCGUCCGCGACCUACACCACAGCUCACGGCAACGCUGGACCCUUAACCCACUGAGCAAGGCCAGGGACCGAACCUGCAACCUCAUGGUUCCUAGUCGGAUUCGUUAACCACUGCACCACGACGGGAACUCCCAAAUCUUUAGUUUCUUAAGUGAUAUCUUUGAGGGUCAAAUGGCAUCUAACAUAGUUCAUGGUGCCUCGUGAAGGCUUGGCAGAGACUAACUGAAUGGACUGUGAAAGGCAACAUGGUACCAGGGAAAGAGUUCGGGGUUUGAAAGCAGCUGGAUCCUUCUCCAAGCUUUGUAACUAACCCACAAUAUAUCUUUGAGCCAGCUCCUUCCUCCUCUCUUCACGUUUGUCUUCCCACCUAUGAAAUGGGAGUAUUGGAAGAGAUGAUUUCUAAUAUGAUUCCUCCCUCUUAGUCCAAGGGACCUAUAGCGCCAGCUGAUGUCACAUUUGUUUUUUAAAUGGGAAUUCCCAAGAGGACAGAAACGGUGUUGUCUAUUCCUGACAUCCUUAGCACUUACCAGAGUGCAAGGCACAGGGUAUAUGCUCAAUUAGUACUUGUUGAAUAAAUGAAUGAAUGAAUGAAUGAAAAGAUACUAACACCCAUCUGAAGCUCAGAUGAGAAUAACCUAUAAACACUUUAUAUACCCUAAACCCCAGAAAGAAGCAAAAGCCAUUUCCUUGUAAGGGAAGAUGGAUCCACGAGUGAACCACAGCACUGACCCAAGCCUUCAAGAAUGAGAGUAGCUGGAGGCCAGCCAACAGAGGCAGACGGAAGCUAGGGUUGGGAGACCUCUCAGCUCCCCCUACCCCCUCCCCACACCCCACUCAUGAAGUUCAGAUUCCUGGGUCAGACCUUUCAUCACUAGCAUGGAGCCUCUGCAAAAUAUACACGAGAAAGGUCCAAGUCUAGUUUUUGCAAGGCCAUUGCCCCAUUGCUCAGCCUCCCCUGAAAAAGACGAAGAAGAGAUCAAGAAGCCAAGAGAGAGACCAUUCUAAAAACUCCUUUGAGCAAAAUAAAUAAAUAAAUAAAUUGAUCCAAGACGUAAUCUUUUUAGUUGUAUAAACAUGUUUUCCUUGCUUUCUGACCCCUAGCAUUUUGGAGUUUAGGGAGUUGACUGGGUGCCUAGUAUCUAUGAACACUUGGAAAGUUCAUCACCCUGACCUUCUUGGCUGUUAAAUCUUAACACUCAUUGCUGGAAAGUACUUAGGCUUCAAAAAAAAAAAAAAAACUCUGUUUUUUUUUCUAAACACCCUCAUCCCUGAGCUUGCACUUGGGGACCGUGUGCUGGAUUUUCUCUGAUAGCUUGUAGAUUCCCAAACACACAGCCAGUGUUUUUCUUUUCCCACAGACUCUGUGGAAUUCACCUGAAAACGUGGUGAUUAUUUAUGUUCUAAUGUACUUUUGGUCAAGCCACCCAGGACUUCGUAUCCACAGGAAAACUGACAGAUCCAAUCAACUCUCCAAAUACAGUUCUGUAAAGUCUUAUUCAUUUGGAUGCCAUCAGUUCGGAAUUUUUGGAUAAUUCAGACAGUCUGGAUGGAAGUUUCUUUUUGCAUAGCUCUACCCAAAAAAGAGAGUUUCUUAACAAAUUGAUAAUGCAAAGCAGACUGCUGGAGCUGAGAAUAAACUGUCUUCAAGUCCUUUAGAAUAGCAUUCACUGACAGGCAAUCAACGAUUAAUUACAAAUUAUUUUUAUCAAAUAAUUAAAAUGAAUUCCAGGCAAUUCACCAUACCUUGGGAAUAGUAUAGGAUAGAGGGAGAAAAAAAAAAAAAAAACAGGUUUUCAAUCCAUCAUGCAAGGGCUCAAAUUCCAGCUAUGUAACUGCAACUCAUGAGUUUCGGUUACUGCUUAAGCUACUUCCCUUCUCUGAGCCUUAAUUCUGACAUAUGGAAAAGUUUGCAGGAAGGACAUAAGAAUUGGAAAUCACAUAGGUGAAGGCAGAGUUUCCAAAACUCUGCUCAAAAGGAUUCUAGGUCCACAGAUGUUAACACAUAUUUCAUGAAAAGAAAUCCAUGGUUGACUAAGUCAGGGAUAAACGAGGCCAAAUGAAAUUAAAUAUGUUUGCCUGCUUUUUUUUAAUCUGUUUAUUUGCAGGUCUUCUCAGAGCCUUUAAUAUUGUGGGGGGGGGGGUUGUUUUGUUUUAUUUUUUGUCUUUUUGCCAUUUCUUGGGCCGCUCCCACGGCAUAUGGAGGUUCCCAGGCUAGGGGUCGAAUCGGAGCUGUAGCUGCCUGCCUACACCAGAGCCACAGCAACACAGGAUCCGAGCCGCAUCUGCAACCUACACCAUAGCUCACGGCAAUGCCAGAUCCUUAACCCACUGAGCAAGGCCAGGGACCGAACCCGCAACCUCAUGGUUCCUAGUCGGAUUCAUUAACCACUGCGCCACGACGGGAACUCCCUAGUAUUGUGUUUUAUGUUGAAACUGUUUCUGUUGGAACACUUUUUGACCUCUCAAAGAACUCCCACCGAACAAUUUAGAAAACGAGGCCUUAGGAAAUGUGGUGUGAGCUUUGUUUCCAGUAGGGGUAUUGAGCCAUUAUGGAGGCAUCCAUGCUCUAUCCCCCAAAUACUUUGGAGACCAAGGCCCAAUCUACAGAAUAGAGUUCAUGACCAAGAAACGAGAUCUUAGCUUAUGAAGCCAUAGUCUUACAGACCUCCCACAAACCAUCCUAGAAAAAGUAACUCAUGGGAUUUUUUUUUUUCAGAUGUACCUGUAAACCAUUAUAUCUGGUUGUGGGUCAGUGACUCAAGGCCCUAAAAGUUUCAGAAGAAUAAAGAAGUUUGGAUUGGGGAGAAAAAUCAUGGAAGGAGGCAAGGAAUCUAAUUCCUGGCAUGUGAUAGGAUGCUAGGUAAAGGACUGUUUGUGAAUUCAUCAAGGUAAUGAAAAACAUAAAAGCCAUAUAGAAUAAAAUUAGCCUCGUUAUCCAUUUUCCUUCUGGGAACUACAGCAAAUGCAGUAGUCAUUAUCCUCAAGGGACAAAGAAAAGGACAUCUACAAGGAACUUGGGAUAAUUAAAGAUGGGACCCCUAGCCUGGGAACUUCCAUAUGCUGCACCUGUGGUCCUACCAAAAAAAAAAAAAAAAAAAAAA
rnacentral:lncRNA from 1 species